GCCCCGGUAGCCCAGUGGUUAGAGGCGCGACGCUCAAACCGUCGACAGCGUGGGUUCGAAUCCCACCCGGGGCA
rnacentral:tRNA from 3 species